ACUGUGGGACCCACCCGUCAGUGCCAACAUGCCAGCCUGGGCUUGCCUGCAUGUAGCGAGUCGAUGCCGAUCGCCUUGCCUAGAGCUUCGGCGGCGGCUCACGCGGGGCAGAGCGCGUGGCGGCUGGCCACGCGGGUGAGAGCGUCAGCGGCGUGCACGUGCCAAGGCGACGACAGCGCCUGUGCGAGGGCGGGAACGGCGGCUGGUCCCGAGGGCCAUGGCGACGAAGGCUUCAAAGCACGGUGGGCACGCGGGCGGGCUGGGCAAGCCAUCGGCAUACCGAAGCUGGGCAAGGCCAUUGGCAUCACCCCGAUCUACGCUGGCAAGCACAGACUGUCAUGUUGGCACUGAUGGGUGGGCCGCACCGG